GGUUAACAGCCUCUCUGAUCUAUUACUGCACAGCUCAAUAGGGAAAUUGAGUAGAAAGCCACACUAAUGGCCAAAUUAUCUGUUCAAACUGUAAGAAGACAGAGCUCAGUAUUAAGAAUUCAGUUCUCUACCAUUUCUGUCACGGCUGGCGGAGGGAGCCGUGUGGUGUGGAGGAAAAGGAGGACCCAAGAUGCAGCAAACUGAUGAUACGAGUGAUGUUUUAUUUACAAAGGUGGUGGUGACAAAAACAGGCAACGAGGAGGAGCGUGGAAGGCUUAAGGAGCAGCGAGCACCGGGAGUGCAGACACGGGAGCAGAGAGCACUUGGAGGACACGACACGGGAGUCUGG
ensembl:lncRNA